rnacentral:rRNA from 1 species
GUAGCGGCGAGUGAAGCGGCAAAAGCUCAAAUUUGAAAUCUGGCACUUUCAGUGUCCGAGUUGUAAUUUGAAGAAGGUAUCUUUGGGUCUGGCUCUGUCUAUGUUUCUUGGAACAGAACGUCACAGAGGGUGAGAAUCCCGUGCGAUGAGAUGUCCCAGACCUAUGUAAAGUUCCUUCGAAGAGUCGAGUUGUUUGGGAAUGCAGCUCUAAGUGGGUGGUAAAUUCCAUCUAAAGCUAAAUAUUGGCGAGAGACCGAUAGCGAACAAGUACAGUGAUGGAAAGAUGAAAAGAACUUUGAAAAGAGAGUGAAAAAGUACGUGAAAUUGUUGAAAGGGAAGGGCUUGAGAUCAGACUUGGUAUUUUGUAUGUUACUCUCUCGGGGGUGGCCUCUACAGUUUACCGGGCCAGCAUCAGUUUGAGCGGUAGGAUAAGUGCAAAGAAAUGUGGCACUGCUUCGGUAGUGUGUUAUAGUCUUUGUCGAUACUGCCAGCUUAGACUGAGGACUGCGGCUUCGGCCUAGGAUGUUGGCAUAAUGAUCUUAAGUCGCCCGUCUUGAAACACGGACCAAGGAGUCUAACGUCUAUGCGAGUGUUUGGGUGUAAAACCCGUACGCGUAAUGAAAGUGAACGUAGGUAGGACCUCCUUUAGGAGUGCACUAUCGACCGAUCCUGAUGUCUUCGGAUGGAUUUGAGUAAGAGCAUAGCUGUUGGGACCCGAAAGAUGGUGAACUAUGCCUGAAUAGGGUGAAGCCAGAGGAAACUCUGGUGGAGGCUCGUAGCGGUUCUGACGUGCAAAUCGAUCGUCGAAUUUGGGUAUAGGGGCGAAAGAC